GAUAUUGAGCCCUACCUCCCCACCCUGAUGGAGACCAUGUUGUCUGCCCUCAGGAAUGCAGAAGACCUGAAAAUCAAAGAGCUGACCGUGUCGGCUAUAGGUGCUAUAGCUAAUGCAGCCAAGGAGUUGCUGGUUCCCUAUUUCCCUCCAGUGAUCGAAAGCCUGAAAGGUUUUCUCAUCGCCACCACAGAGGAGAUGAGGCAUCUGCAAAAUCAGUCCCUCAUCAUGCUAACUGCACUGAUCCCCAAGAUCAGCAAGGAAGACUCCAGUCCUCUCGCUGAAGAAUGUAUUCAACUCAGCCUCA